AUGGUUGUUCGGGAGCUUUGGGAGAUGGAAGAGCUCGUGGGAAAGAUCCUGCUCAGCAUUCCGCCGGAGGAGCCGGAGAUCCUCGUCCGCGCCUCCCUCGCCUGCAAACCUUGGUGCCGCCUCCUCUCCGGCAACGCGUUCCGCAGCCGCUACCUCGCCUUGCAUGGAACAGCUCCGGUCCUGGGCUUCCUGCAGAGCUGGGUGGCCGGCGAGCUCGAGCGCUUCGUCCCCACAAAAAAGUUCUGCCCCCGCAGUCCCAUUCCCAAACGUGAGAGCACUUUCGUGCUCGACUGCCGCCAUGCAUGGCCGCGUUCUUCUUGGGUGCCUGCAACAGCGCGAUGA
rnacentral:rRNA from 1 species